GGGACGAACGCUGGCGGCGCGCUUAACACAUGCAAGUCGAGCGAGAACCGGGGCUUCGGCCCCGGGGACAGCGGCGAACGGGUGAGUAACACGUGGAUAACCUGCCCUCGGCACCGGGAUAGCCCGGGGAAACCCGGAUUAAUACCGGAUGGCCCUUCCGACUUUCGAGUCGGUCGGCAAAGGUAGCUUCGGCCUCCGGCCGAGGAUGGGUCCGCGGCGGAUUAGCUUGUUGGUGGGGCAAUGGCCUACCAAGGCUCCGAUCCGUAGCUGGUCUGAGAGGACGAUCAGCCACACUGGGACUGAGACACGGCCCAGACUCCUACGGGAGGCAGCAGUGGGGAAUCUUGCGCAAUGGGCGAAAGCCUGACGCAGCGACGCCGCGUGAGGACGACGGCCUUCGGUGUAAACCUCUUUCAGGGUAGGACGAAGCGUACUCGGUAAUAGCCCAGAGGUGACGGUACCUCCAGAAGAAGCCUGGCUAACUACGUGCCAGCAGCCGAC
rnacentral:rRNA from 1 species